GACGAACCGUCCGAACGUUAUUCGGAAUCACUGGGCUUAAAGGGUGCGUAGGCGGCGCGGAAAGUUGGGUGUGAAAUCCCUCGGCUUAACCGAGGAACUGCGCCCAAAACUACCGUGCUUGAGGGAGAUAGAGGUGAGCGGAACUUAGGGUGGAGCGGUGAAAUGCGUUGAUAUCCUAAGGAACACCGGUGGCGAAAGCGGCUCACUGGAUCUCUUCUGACGCUGAUGCACGAAAGCUAGGGUAGCGAACGGG
rnacentral:rRNA from 1 species